UGUGUAACCUUGAUUCAGCCUGGUCUAUCACUGGAGAGCAAACUACAUGUUGAGCACUAAUUUACAUUCUCUGUGUGUGUGUGUGUGUGUGUGUGUGUGUGUGUGUGUGUGUGUGUGUGUGUGUGUGUGUGUGUGUGUGUGUGUGUGUUGUUCUCCAGGACACUGACAGACCUGCUGAAGCAGCAGGGAGGUGAGGCGAGCACGGUGGAAAACGCCACGGCCAGUUCGCCCAACGGAGGGAGAGCCAACGGCAUAUCGGCCAGGAUGCUGCGCAGCAGGAGUGAUCCAACAGCUCGUUUCCAAACUCCUGAACUGUUCAGACAAAUCAAACAAAGGAAUCCCGAUCUUCACCUUAAUUGUCUGCUGCCUGCAAUUCCCACUGAGAGAGAAGAUAUUACGUAACUCAUUAAGCAGCCUUCCUGUCCUCUUGUUCUGCGCUUAAAAGAUCCUGAUGCUAGACAUUCACUAGGUAGUGCUUAAUGGAAAAAUUAAUAUGGGCA
rnacentral:lncRNA from 15 species